GCUGAUGCGUUGUUGGGUAGGGGAGCGUUCUGUAAGCCUGCGAAGGUGACCUGUGAGGGUUGCUGGAGGUAUCAGAAGUGCGAAUGCUGACAUAAGUAACGAUAAAGCGGGUGAAAAGCCCGCUCGCCGGAAGACCAAGGGUUCCUGUCCAACGUUAAUCGGGGCAGGGUGAGUCGACCCCUAAGGCGAGGCCGAAAGGCGUAGUCGAUGGGAAACGGGUUAAUAUUCCCGUACUUGGUGUUACUGCGAAGGGGGGACGGAGAAGGCUAUGUUGGCCGGGCGACGGUUGUCCCGGUUUAAGCGUGUAGGUGUGUGUUCCAGGUAAAUCCGGUUCACUUUAACACUGAGGCGUGAUGACGAGGCACUACGGUGCUGAAGCAACAAAUGCCCUGCUUCCAGGAAAAGCCUCUAAGCAUCAGGUAACAUCAAAUCGUACCCCAAACCGACACAGGUGGUCAGGUAGAGAAUACCAAGGCGCUUGAGAGAACUCGGGUGAAGGAACUAGGCAAAAUGGUGCCGUAACUUCGGGAGAAGGCACGCUGACACGUAGGUGAAGUGAUUUACUCACGGAGCUGAAGUCAGUCGAAGAUACCAGCUGGCUGCAACUGUUUAUUAAAAACACAGCACUGUGCAAACACGAAAGUGGACGUAUACGGUGUGACGCCUGCCCGGUGCCGGAAGGUUAAUUGAUGGGGUCAGCGCAAGCGAAGCUCCUGAUCGAAGCCCCGGUAAACGGCGGCCGUAACUAUAACGGUCCUAAGGUAGCGAAAUUCCUUGUCGGGUAAGUUCCGACCUGCACGAAUGGCGUAAUGAUGGCCAGGCUGUCUCCACCCGAGACUCAGUGAAAUUGAACUCGCUGUGAAGAUGCAGUGUACCCGCGGCAAGACGGAAAGACCCCGUGAACCUUUACUAUAGCUUGACACUGAACAUUGAGCCUUGAUGUGUAGGAUAGGUGGGAGGCUUUGAAGUGUGGACGCCAGUCUGCAUGGAGCCGACCUUGAAAUACCACCCUUUAAUGUUUGAUGUUCUAACGUGGACCCGUAAUCCGGGUUGCGGACAGUGUCUGGUGGGUAGUUUGACUGGGGCGGUCUCCUCCUAAAGAGUAACGGAGGAGCACGAAGGUUGGCUAAUCCUGGUCGGACAUCAGGAGGUUAGUGCAAUGGCAUAAGC
rnacentral:rRNA from 1 species